rnacentral:misc_RNA from 1 species
GAUGAAGAACGUAGCAAAAUGCGAUAAGUAAUGUGAAUUGCAGAAUUCAAUGAAUCAUCGAAUCUUUGAACGCACAUUGCGCCCGCUGGUAUUCCGGCGGGCAUGCCUGUUCGAGCGUCAUUUCAACCCUCAAGCCCCCGGGUUUGGUGUUGGGGAUCGGCUCUGCCUUCUGGCGGUGCCGCCCCCGAAAUACAUUGGCGGUCUCGCUGCAGCCUCCAUUGCGUAGUAGCUAACACCUCGCAACUGGAACGCGGCGCGGCCAUGCCGUAAAACCCCAACUUCUGAAUGUUGACCUCGGAUCAGGUAGGAAUACCCGCUGAACUUAAGCAUAUCAAUAAGCGGAGGA